ensembl:snoRNA
GCUAUGAUGAAUUUGAUUGCAUUGAUUGUAUGACAUGAUAAUGUACUUUGUCCUCUAAGAAAGAUAUUGGCAGCUU